CCUACGGGGUGCAGCAGUGGGGAAUAUUGGACAAUGGGCGAAAGCCUGAUCCAGCCAUGCCGCGUGUGUGAAGAAGGCCUUCGGGUUGUAAAGCACUUUCAGUGGGGAAGAAAGCCUUGGGGCUAAUACCCUCGAGGAAGGACAUCACCCACAGAAGAAGCACCGGCUAACUCCGUGCCAGCAACCGCGGUAAUACGGAGGGUGCGAGCGUUAAUCGGAAUUACUGGGCGUAAAGCGCGCGUAGGCGGUCUGAUAAGCCGGUUGUGAAAGCCCCGGGCUCAACCUGGGAACGGCAUCCGGAACUGUCAGGCUAGAGUGCAGGAGAGGAAGGUAGAAUUCCCGGUGUAGCGGUGAAAUGCGUAGAGAUCGGGAGGAAUACCAGUGGCGAAGGCGGCCUUCUGGACUGACACUGACGCUGAGGUGCGAAAGCGUGGGUAGCAAACAGGAUUAGAUACCCCAGUAGUC
rnacentral:rRNA from 1 species